UAGUCCACGCCGUAAACGAUGAUUACUCGUUGUUGGCAAUGCAUCGUCAGCGACUGCGCGAAAGCAUUAAGUAAUCCACCUGGGGAGUACGUUGGCAACAAUGAAACUCAAAGGAAUUGACGGGGGCCCGCACAAGCGGAGGAACAUGUGGUUUAAUUCGAUGAUACGCGAGGAACCUUACCUGGACUUAAAUGUAGGUUGACAGGACUAGAGAUAGUUUUUUCUUCGGACAAUUUACAAGGUGCUGCAUGGUUGUCGUCAGCUCGUGCCGUGAGGUGUCGGGUUAAGUCCCAUAACGAGCGCAACCCCUAUUGUUAGUUACCAUCAGGUUAAGCUGGGGACUCUAACAAGACUGCCUGGGUAACCAGAGAGGAAGGUGGGGAUGACGUCAAAUCAGCACGGCCCUUACGUCCAGGGCUACACACGUGUUACAAUGGUCGGUACAAAGGGCAGCUACUAUGCGAAUAGAUGCUAAUCUCCAAAACCGGUCUCAGUUCGGAUCGGAGUCUGCAACUCGACUCCG
rnacentral:rRNA from 1 species